rnacentral:rRNA from 1 species
AAAUUGAAGAGUUUGAUCAUGGCUCAGAUUGAACGCUGGCGGCAGGCCUAACACAUGCAAGUCGAGCGGUAGCACAGAGAGCUUGCUCUCGGGUGACGAGCGGCGGACGGGUGAGUAAUGUCUGGGAAACUGCCUGAUGGAGGGGGAUAACUACUGGAAACGGUAGCUAAUACCGCAUAAUGUCGCAAGACCAAAGUGGGGGACCUUCGGGCCUCAUGCCAUCAGAUGUGCCCAGAUGGGAUUAGCUAGUAGGUGGGGUAACGGCUCACCUAGGCGACGAUCCCUAGCUGGUCUGAGAGGAUGACCAGCCACACUGGAACUGAGACACGGUCCAGACUCCUACGGGAGGCAGCAGUGGGGAAUAUUGCACAAUGGGCGCAAGCCUGAUGCAGCCAUGCCGCGUGUGUGAAGAAGGCCUUCGGGUUGUAAAGCACUUUCAGCGGGGAGGAAGGCGAUAAGGUUAAUAACCUUGGCGAUUGACGUUACCCG